rnacentral:lncRNA from 1 species
AGGUCUAAAUAGUAGUAUUUAAUUAACAAAGAAAAGCUUAAUUUUGAUCUUUAAUAACUGUAAAAGUACAACGGUUUCUGAAACAUCAGCCAAAGCACAACAAAGGUCGAUAAAAAAGAGUACGUGGCACAAUCAACGACUGUAAUUUCUCCCGCUAAACUCGCCGGUCGUUUUUUUUUUUGCCGUCGUUAGUAAAUCAGCUUUAUAUUUAUAUAUGUACUUGACUGAUUAACUGUACAGAUUUAUGGAAGUUUAAAAAUCGUUGAUGAGUUCAACUUCCAAACUCGGUAGCGUGAAUGAGUCGACUCGGUUUACCAGCACUGAUCGGUCUCCCAACUCCUCCCUCUAUAUCCUGAAACCCUAGAAACCGAAGUCAACGGCCGUUGGUUUCUCCAUACAAGCUUACUAUCGUAUACGGCUCGUUUUUGUGGAUCCGAUAAGGUACUGUACGCCGCGUGGAUCUUCAUGAACUCGUCCGCCGACAAAUCUUUCCGAUCGAUUGCCGCCACGUCUGGAUGGCAAACUCUAGCCAAUCGGCGGUACGCCGAUUUGAUUUCCUCGUUCGAAGCACCGACGGGAAUCCCUAGAACUUCGUACAACGACGUGCACGUCGCCAUUCCUUGACGGCUUAGGUAACCGUUCGUCGAUCCUUUCUGUUGUUGCGAAGUGUAAGUAGCGGCGGAGCGAGGUGGACGGAAUUUGGAGCGGGAAGUAGACGGCGGAGAAAUCGGAGAAACGGAAAGAGAGGUUGAGAUAUAAAGAGAAGAGAGCAUCGUAUGAU